rnacentral:misc_RNA from 1 species
AACGCAUCUUGCGCUCCUUGGUAUUCCAAGGAGCAUGCCUGUUUGAGUGUCAUUUAUAUAUCUCAAUCCUGCAUCCGUGAAAAAAAGGGUGUCGGGCUUGGACUUGGGGGUUACAGGCUCUGCUAUUGCAGUCUGCUCUCCUGAAAUACAUGGAGGCCCCUCCCCUGUUUUAAAGGUGUGAUAUAUCUAUCUGCAUCUAAAAUCUUGGGGGGUGUUUGCCGCUGAGGGGGAUGGCUUGUUGAUAAACUUGACCUCAAAUCAGGUAGGACCACCCGCUGAACUUAA